GUCGUGCUGGGGAUAGAGCAUUGCAAUUGUUGGUCUUCUUAACGAGGAAUUCCUAGUAAGCGAGUCAUCAGCUCGCGUUGACUACGUCCCUGCCCUUUGUACACACCGCCCGUCGCUCCUACCGAUUGAACGGCUUAAUGAGGACUUGGGAUUGGUAUUCGGGAGCUGGCAACGGCACCUGAAAGCUGAAAACUUGUUCAAAUUUGGUCGUUUAGAGGAAGUAAAAGUCGUAACAAGGUUUCUGUAGGUGAACCUGCAGAAGGAUCAUUG
rfam:Arabis alpina cultivar Pajares scaff_66511_1_contig_0, whole genome shotgun sequence.